CGUCAACGUGUUAUAAAAACAACAAUUGCAUGCUAGGAAAUGAAUGGACAAAAUACACAACUUAUUAACCGUUCUUAUUCGUAAGUUCUACUUUGUUUCUUCUACUUUUAAAUGAAGUUAAUUUGUAAAGAUUUCGCUUAUAAAAAUAUAGUUGAGAACUUUUGAAUUGCGAAAUUGAAUGCCCCUUUUUAAUAUUAUGCCUACUGAAAUCGCGAAAAUAGAACUCCGCGAAAUACCAUCUCACCAAAUGCGAAUAACAUAGCCUUUUUUCAGUCAUCUAAGUAGUCUCGUAAAUUCUUGCUUUCAGCUUCCAAACGAUCGACAGCAUUAACCGCCUUAAAACAACCGACUCCGCCGAAAGUUACUCUUUAUCGUGUGGAGAUCAGUGUCUUAUAAAUUACUGUGAGAUUUCUAUCUGAUUUUUUGGUCUCUUUGCUAGGUUAUGGAAUGACAGAACUGACCUGCGCAUCCCAUGGUCUGGGGUCAAGGGAAAAAAUAAAGUUGGCUCCAUCGGACGUCUGCUUCCAAAUAUGGAAUGUAAGGUUAUUUAUCCUGGAACUGGCAAGAUUCUUGGACCAAACCAAGACGGAGAGAUAUGCAUUAAAGGACCAAUUGUAAUGAAAGGUUAUUUGAAUAACCCAGAGGCCACUGCGAGGACAAUUGACGCAGAUGGCUGGCUUCACACAGGAGACAUUGGACAUUAUGACGNA